AAACAAUAAGAGAAGGACGUGAGAAAUCAAGAGAAAAACAAGAAAAAGUGAGAGAGAGCUUUGAAACUUGUAAGAUUGAAAGACUUAGAACAUUAAAUUAAGGAAGAAUCAAGUGAAGGAAGACAUAAGAAAGGUGAGGAGGGCUGGCCACACUAGGAGGAGAAGAAAAGUUGGGAGAACUUAGCUUGGUAAGCAUGAAAAAUUUAGAUUAUUACUUGAAUGAAGUGUUUUUGGGUUUAUUUGAGUAAGUUAUCAAACAAUGACAAUUAAAUUUGACUUAAUUUCUUAUAUUCUUGAUUUUUGUUAAAUUAGGGUUCUUAUGAGAAUUUGGGGGUUUUGAGAAAAGUAGUAAACAUGAUGGAAUUGAGGUAGAAUAGUAUAGAAAUAGUGAAUGUAAGUAGCAAUUAAGAAAGAAAUUGAAUAAUUUUGAAGAAAAGAACUUGUAAUUAAGGAUGAGGAAAUAUAGGGAUGAAGUUUUGAUUGUUUUAUGUUUGAGAAAUGAUGUUCUUUAUCUUAUGUGAAGUAUUCAAAAUAUGAACAAGUGAAGAAACAUCAUGAGAAUGUGAAAAGAAGGAAUAAAUAAAUGGUGGAAUAGUUCAUGGGAGAAUUCUUUAAGUGAAGUAAAAGAAGAAAAUUGAUUAAAACUAUAUGUUGAAAAUGAAGUGAUAAAUGAAUGAAAAUUUUGGUGUAAACCCCAAUUAAAUAAAUAAAUAAAAAUAUUACGUGCUUCAAAUUUAGGCACGUAGGAGAAAUAAUAAUGUAGUGCAAUUUGAUUUAUUCAGGAGUUGUUUCGGGAGUAGGGCAUCAGGCAGGAG
rnacentral:lncRNA from 1 species